rnacentral:rRNA from 1 species
AUACGUAGGGGGAUAGCGUUAUCCGGAAUUACUGGGCGUAAAGGGUGCGUAGGUGGUUUUUUAAGUCAGAAGUGAAAGGCUACGGCUCAACCGUAGUAAGCUUUUGAAACUAGAGAACUUGAGUGCAGGAGAGGAGAGUAGAAUUCCUAGUGAAGCGGUUAAAUGCGUAGAUAUUAGGAGGAAUACCAGUAGCGAAGGCGGCUCUCUGGACUGUAACUGACACUGAGGCACGAAAGCGUGGGGAGCAAACAGGAUUAGAUCCCCUGGUAGUCCACGCCGUAAACGAUGAGUACUAGGUGUCGGGGGUUACCCCCCUCGGUGCCGCAGCUAACGCAUUAAGUACUCCGCCUGGGAAGUACGCUCGCAAGAGUGAAACUCAAAUGAAUUGACGGGG